rnacentral:tRNA from 1 species
GUGGUGGAUCAGUGGUAGCGCAUUUGCUUAGCAUGUGUGAGGCACUGGGUUCGAUCCCCAGCAUCACA